UACGUAGGGUGCGAGCGUUGUCCGGAUUUAUUGGGCGUAAAGAGCGUGUAGGCGGCCAGUCAGGUCCGUUGUGAAAACUCGAGGCUCAACCUCGAGACGCCGAUGGAAACCGACUGGCUAGAGUCCGGAAGAGGAGAGUGGAAUUCCCGGUGUAGCGGUGAAAUGCGCAGAUAUCGGGAAGAACACCCGUGGCUAAGGCGGCUCUCUAGUACGGUACUGACGCUGAGACGCGAAAGCGUGGGGAGCGAACAGG
rnacentral:rRNA from 1 species